rnacentral:misc_RNA from 1 species
CGCACAUACCGGCCCGAUCUCAUCCUCAUGGAUAUUCAGCUACCCGAAGUUUCCGGUCUCGACGUGACGCGCUGGAUCAAGGCGGAUGUCGACUUGCGUGCCAUCCCCGUGGUCGCGGUAACGGCUUUUGCCAUGAAGGGCGAUGAAGAACGUAUUCGCGAAGGCGGGUGCGAAGCGUAUUUGUCCAAACCGAUCUCGGUUGGGAAGUUUAUUGAGACGGUUCG